rnacentral:lncRNA from 1 species
ACACCAAAAGCUGGAAAAGUGGCUUACAUUUUAAGAGGAAUCCUCCAAACCAGAAGAUCCCACCUGUGGUAACACACGCAGCUCAUGGAGUACAAAUUAUGUGCAGUGGGCGUUCAUGUGGAAAAUCUGUAUGGCUAAAGCAUCCUGGCAAACCACAGUUCCUGCUGGGUGAGUUAAGAGUCUGUCUUGAAGGAAUGAGGGAUUUGAAACUCCCCAUGCAGUAUGUGUACCUGCAGCUGUGCACAACCUGUGAGACCUGAUGGCUGCCAGCUUCCCUGCCCAGGUAGGGACACUGAUGCACUGACAACCUACUGAAGAGUUCACAAGGACAAAAGCUAAUCCAGUGCUGACUUUUGCUUACAGGUAGGAAUUCAGGUUCCUAUUCUGGAGGCCCCUGUGACAACAUUCUGUCCAGUCCCUGCCAUUCAAUUACCCAAGAAUUUCAGGGAUCUUUCCUUAAGUCUCAGGGCUUAGUGGCUACAGGAUCCCAUCUAGAUUUGUCAUGUGCUACAAAUGAAGAGAGAUCUGUUAGUAAUGGAGAGCCAGUAGUCUUUUAGAUAGUCCUGUGUAUCUUAUCAUCCCAAGUUAAUUUACCCCUGCUCAUACCUUGACCAUGC